UACGGGGGGGGCAAGCGUUGUUCGGAAUUACUGGGCGUAAAGGGCUCGUAGGCGGCCAACUAAGUCAGACGUGAAAUCCCUCGGCUUAACCGGGGAACUGCGUCUGAUACUGGAUGGCUUGAAUCCGGGGAGAGGGAUGCGGAAUUCCAGGUGUAGCGGUGAAAUGCGUAGAUAUCUGGAGGAACACCGGUGGCGAAGGCGGCAUCCUGGACCGGCAUUGACGCUGAGGAGCGAAAGCCAGGGGAGCAAACGGG
rnacentral:rRNA from 1 species